GCAGCCUGAUGCAGCGACGCCGCGUGAGGGAUGACGGCCUUCGGGUUGUAAACCUCUUUCAGUAGGGACGAAGCGCAAGUGACGGUACCUAUAGAAGAAGGACCGGCCAACUACGUGCCAGCAGCCGCGGUAAUACGUAGGGUCCGAGCGUUGUCCGGAAUUACUGGGCGUAAAGAGCUCGUAGGUGGUUUGUCGCGUUGUUCGUGAAAACUCACAGCUCAACUGUGGGCGUGCGGGCGAUACGGGCAGACUAGAGUACUGCAGGGGAGACUGGAAUUCCUGGUGUAGCGGUGGAAUGCGCAGAUAUCAGGAGGAACACCGGUGGCGAAGGCGGGUCUCUGGGCAGUAACUGACGCUGAGGAGCGAAAGCGUGGGGAGCGAACAGGAUUAGAUACCCUGGUAGUCCACGCCGUAAACGGUGGGUACUAGGUGUGGGUUUCCUUCCUUGGGAUCCGUGCCGUAGCUAACGCAUUAAGUACCCCGCCUGGGGAGUACGGCCGCAAGGCUAAAACUCAAAGAAAUUGACGGGGGCCCGCACAAGCGGCGGAGCAUGUGGAUUAAUUCGAUGCAACGCGAAGAACCUUACCUGGGUUUGACAUGCACAGGACGUGCCUAGAGAUAGGUAUUCCCUUGUGGU
rnacentral:rRNA from 2 species